GAUGAACGCUAGCUACAGGCUUAACACAUGCAAGUCGAGGGGAAACGAUAUUGGAAGCUUGCCUCCGAUAGGCGUCGACCGGCGCACGGGUGAGUAACGCGUAUCCAACCCGCCCAUCACUUGGGGAUAACCUUGCGAAAGUAAGACUAAUACCCAAUGAUAUCUCUAGAAGACAUCUGAAAGGGAUUAAAGAUUUAUCGGUGAUGGAUGGGGAUGCGUCUGAUUAGCUUGUUGGCGGGGUAACGGCCCACCAAGGCGACGAUCAGUAGGGGUUCUGAGAGGAAGGUCCCCCACAUUGGAACUGAGACACGGUCCAAACUCCUACGGGAGGCAGCAGUGAGGAAUAUUGGUCAAUGGACGAGAGUCUGAACCAGCCAAGUAGCGUGCAGGAUGACGGCCCUAUGGGUUGUAAACUGCUUUUAUAAGGGAAUAAAGUGAGCCUCGUGAGGCUUUUUGCAGUACCUUAUGAAUAAGGACCGGCUAAUUCCGUGCCAGCCGCCGCAGUAA
rnacentral:rRNA from 1 species